AUCGAUCUAUUCUCUCUUCCCUCAUAAAUCUCACAGUAAUCUCAGUGGAAUCGACCAAGCCAAGGAAGAAAUCAAAGAGGAUGGCAUCGUCCCGAGUCCACGUGUUGGUGGCGUCGUGGUUGCUGCUGUUGGUCAUGGCACCAGUGUUAGUUGAAGGAGAAAACUGUGAUGAAUGCUACACCCAGUGCAAGAGAGGCGGCUCCUGGCAAAUCUUCUGCUUCCGCUGCCAUGCCUGCAAGCUUGCUGAGGAAUGGAAAAGACCCACGCCUGACAUCCCUGGUUUGGAUGGGGGCUUAAGAGCCAUGCCCGCAGUAGAAGCACGGACACAUUUGAAACAAGAUAAGAAUUAAAAAGAUAUGGUAUAUACGAUGGAAGGGCCGUGGGCUGUCGAUCGUCCAUCUCUUAAAUACUUCCUCCCAUAAUCCUCUCCUGCUGUAAAUUGACGAAGAGACCGCCACCUUGGCACUUGUUUGGUCUCUGUCAAUUUAUGCAAAUUUGUUGUUUUUUGUUUUCUUUUUUGGUGAAAUAUUGUAUUUUGUUUUCGCUGGAUUAAUAAUAAAACGGGUGGAAUUUCUCUGUCCUUUUUGUGAAAAA